UGUUGGGGUAACGGCCCAACAAGCCUUUGAUCGGUACGGGUUGUGGGAGCAAGAGCCCGGAGAUGGAUUCUGAGACAUGAAUCCAGGCCCUACGGGGCGCAGCAGGCGCGAAAACUUUACAAUGCGAGCAAUCGUGAUAAGGAAACCCUGAGUGCCUGUCAACGCAGGCUGUUCUGGUGUCUAACACACACCAGGAGAAAGGGCGGGGCAAGACCGGUGCCAGCCGCCGCGGUAAUACCGGCUGCUCGAGUGAUAGCCACUUUUACUGGGCUUAAAGCGUUCGUAGCUUGGUCGUUAAGUCUCUGGGGAAAUCUUUUGGCUCAACCAAAAGGCGUCUCAGGGAAACUGGCGACCUAGGAACCGGGAGAGGUAAGACGUACUUCGGGGGUAGGAGUGAAAUCUUGUAAUCCCCGAGGGACGACCGAUGGCGAAGGCAUCUUACCAGAACGGCUUCGACAGUGAGGGACGAAAGCUGGGGGAGCAAACCGGAUUAGAU
rnacentral:rRNA from 1 species